GAUGAACGCUGGCGGCGUGCCUAAUACAUGCAAGUCGAACGCUUCUUUCCUCCCGUUUCCUUGCUCUCGUUUGGAACGAGGGGUUGCGUACGGGUUAGUAAACCUUGGGUAACCUAUCCGUUAGAUGCGGAUAACACUUGGAAACAGCGGCUAAUACCUCAAAACACUUUAUUCCGCAUUGAAUGAGGGUUAAGGUCGCUUUCGGAGGUCGCUGCUGGAUGCAUCCGCGAUGCAUUAGCUAGUUGGUAAGGUAACGGCUUACCAAGGCAACGAUGCGUAGCCGACCUGAGAGGGUGAUCGGCCACACUGGAACUGAGACACGGUCCAGACUCCUACGGGAGGCAGCAGUAGGGAAUCUUCGGCAAUGGGCGAAAGCCUGACGGAGCAACGCCGCGUGAGUGAAGAAGGUCUUCGGAUCGUAAAACUCUGUUAUUAGGGAAGAACAAGGGUGUAAGUAACUAAACGCGUCUUGACGGUACCUAAUCAGAAAGCCACGGCUAACUACGUG
rnacentral:rRNA from 1 species